CCUACGGGAGGCAGCAGUGGGGAAUAUUGGACAAUGGGCGGAAGCCUGAUCCAGCAAUACCGCGUGUGUGAAGAAGGCCUUCGGGUUGUAAAGCACUUUUGUCAGGGAGAAUGGUAGUAGAGGUUAAUACCCUUUGCUAUUGAUGUUACCUGAAGAAUAAGCACCGGCUAACUCCGUGCCAGCAGCCGCGGUAAUACGGGGGGUGCAAGCGUUAAUCGGAAUUACUGGGCGUAAAGGGCGCGUAGGUGGUUACUUAAGUCAGAUGUGAAAGCCCCGGGCUCAACCUGGGAAUUGCAUUUGAUACUGGGUAACUAGAGUGUGGUAGAGAGUAGCGGAAUUUCUGGUGUAGCGGUGAAAUGCGUAGAUAUCAGAAGGAACACCAAUGGCGAAGGCAGCUACUUGGGCCAACACUGACGCUGAGGCGCGAAAGCAUGGGGAGCAAACAGGAUUAGAUACCCUGGUAGUCCAUGCUGUAAACGAUGACAACUUGUUGAUGGGAGGGUUACCUUUCGUUGACGUAGCUAACGUGUUAAGUUGUCCGCCUGGGGAGUACGGUCGCAAGGCUGAAACUCAAA
rnacentral:rRNA from 1 species